rnacentral:rRNA from 1 species
AUUGAACGCUGGCGGCAGGCUUAACACAUGCAAGUCGAGCGGAGUGAUGGUGCUUGCACUAUCACUUAGCGGCGGACGGGUGAGUAAUGCUUAGGAGUCUGCCUAUUAGUGGGGGACAACAUCUCGAAAGGGAUGCUAAUACCGCAUACGUCCUACGGGAGAAAGCAGGGGAUCACUUGUGACCUUGCGCUAAUAGAUGAGCCUAAGUCGGAUUAGCUAGUUGGUGGGGUAAAGGCCUACCAAGGCGACGAUCUGUAGCGGGUCUGAGAGGAUGAUCCGCCACACUGGGACUGAGACACGGCCCAGACUCCUACGGGAGGCAGCAGUGGGGAAUAUUGGACAAUGGGGGGAACCCUGAUCCAGCCAUGCCGCGUGUGUGAAGAAGGCCUUAUGGUUGUAAAGCACUUUAAGCGAGGAGGAGGCUCUUUUGGUUAAUACCCAAGAUGAGUGGUCGUUGCUCGCAGAAUAAGCACCGGCUAACUCUGUGCCAGCCGCCGCAGUAAAAC